rnacentral:rRNA from 1 species
CCUACGGGUGGCAGCAGUGAGGAAUAUUGGUCAAUGGGCGCGAGCCUGAACCAGCCACGUAGCGUGAAGGAUGACUGCCCUACGGGCUGUAAACUUCUUUUAUAAAGGAAUACAGUGAGGCAAGUGUGCCUUUUUGUCUGUACUUUAUGAAUAAGGAUCGGCUAACUCCGUGCCAGCAGCCGCGGUACUACGGAGGAUCCGAGCGUUAUCCGGAUUUAUUGGUUUUAAAGGGAGCGUAGAUGGGUUGUUAAGUCAGUUGUGAAGGUUUGCGGCUCAACCGUAAAAUUGCAAUUGAUACUGGCAGUCUGGAGUACAGAUGAGGUAGGCGGAAUUCGUGGUGUAGCGGUGAAAUGCGUAGAUAUCACGAAGAACUCCGAUGGCGAAGGCAGCUUACUAAACUGCCACUGACAUUGAUGCUCGAAAGUGUGGGUAGCAAACAGGAUUAGAUACCCUGGUAGUC